rnacentral:rRNA from 1 species
CCCUUAGAUGUUCUGGGCCGCACGCGCGCUACACUGAUGCAUUCAACAAGUUCUACCUUGGCCGAGAGGCCUGGGAAAUCUUUCAAAUAUGUAUCGUGAUAGGGAUAGAUUAUUGCAAUUAUUAAUCUUGAACGAGGAAUUCCUAGUAAAUGCAGAUCAUCAUUCUGCGUUGAUUACGUCCCUGCCCUUUGUACACACCGCCCGUCGCUCCUACCGAUUGAGUGGUCCGGUGAGGCUUUGGGAUCUGAGCGGAAAGAGCGUUUCGCUGUUUCUGCUCGGAAAACUCAGUCGAACCUUAUCAUUUAGAGGAAGGAGAAGUCGUAACA